rnacentral:misc_RNA from 1 species
UUUAAACCAUUUAUUCAUUAAUGCUCAUGUUUUCCUAGUUUUAUCCCAACCUAGCAAAUAAUAACAGUUUAGUUUGUUGAAACAUCAACUUGAUAAAUAGCCUACUUCUAAUGAUAAAUCUAUAAUAUAAUAAAGGAAGGAAUCGGCUUAUACAUGUUGGGGAUAGGAAAUACACAAACGACGCAUCAUCACGUCUCAACUACUCAACUGAUUAACUUGAAAUGUUGCUUAUAGAUUCUUUAUCUACUGAGGAUGGUUAUAGGCCUUUUUUAAAUCGUUCAAGAUCUCAGUAGGUAGAUUUUGUAAAGUUUUCAGUUGCCAGGGUUCACGGGUUACACCUGCUAAUGGACAAUUAUUUGCUCUUCAAAUAUGAGUGCUCUACAGUAAGAUUGUAAACUUUAAUUAUAUGUGUCUGUUUUUGCAGUGACUCAAUGUGGAUUGUGAAGACACAGAAGGGGACGCAUUUGGAUCUUGAAUCAUGAAUGUUGAAUCUUGAUGCUCACAGAAAAGGAAGUCAACCAGACAGGCUCUGAAAAUUGAUGAAAUGGAACAAAUUAUUUGGACAAGACACUAGAAAAAUUCUACUCGGUCGGUUUUGAAAUCAUACCUCAAGAAACUUGCGAGAUCUUCGUCUGCACUGCACUAGCAUUUCAGUUGGGGCAAACUGAGCCGCUUCGGCGAGCGGGCCAAUAAUUUCAACAUUGUUUCAAUUCCAAGUUGAUUGUUUUGAAUUAAUAUAGUCUACUGUUACAGAGAGACUAUGCCUUUUGAAAAUAUAAACGGUUACCUGAUAAGUACCUUAAUUUGUGUUAUGAAAUAUGAUUGAUAUCCAACUAUUUAAUAAAUUUCUCAAUUUGAAAGAUUCAAAUAAUGAUAUUAUUUCGAUUAUUUACUUGCUCACCAAGUGCAGUUUUCUCGGUGAAAGCUUAAACCGAAUUGGAUCAGCUGGUGUGUUUUAAUAUCAAUUAAACUUAACAUGGAUUUAAUUCAUAUUAAGCCGACAUUUGGUUCAAACUGGUACUGUGAAAACGGCUUUUAAAUCGUUAGAAUUAUUCAAGUAAUUAGUAUGGUGAUUAUUAUCAUAGAAAAAAGAUAUCAUAAGAAGAUAACCCUAUGGUAUAGAUUGUUUAUGUUUCAUCGUGCGUUUUAAAACAGUAAAGAAAAAAGUAUCUCAGGUUUGGCUGAAAUUUGCACCAUAGAUGAAGCUUUAUCUGAGAAAUGUCUGAGCCAAAUUUGGCACCCCCAGCUACUAUACAGGGUGAGUUAUGCAGCUUCAAACGUAAAAUUUGCAAAUUUUCAAACGGUGAGGAAUUUUGCAAAUCGGAUUCCAGAUUCAUGUUCCUCUCAUCAAAGAGCAUAAGGUCACGAAGUUAGAGCGAUUUUGAUUUUUCACAAAAAAAUUAGAUAAACCAUGGAUUUUAUGAAAAAUGCGAAUGUGCCAGAUUCGGUUGAUAUUCGAACUAUGGAAAGAGGUUGACUCAAUAGUGAUAGAUAAAUGUCUUUUAUUUUCAUUUUAUAACAUUACAAAUGAUGUGGGCGAAGUUGAGGCAAUAAGAGCCCCCCUCUUCCACUUGACCCACAAGUAUGGGUCUGUUUGUGUAAAUGGCAGAAGAUAAGAAAAGAUUCAUUGAACAAUUGACAAAUUUACUUGAUAGAAUACUUGACAAUUAUAUAGUCUAAAAUAAGAACUUAGUCAAAAAUAACAGAUUAACAAAUAACAACUCUAAAGUCAUUUUUCACCAAGUUACCAAGAGGGAUUAUUAACUAUGGAAUGAGAAAGAAAUCAAUAAAAAUGCUUACUUUCUUAAUCAGAUUCAGUAUAGUUUUUAGUAUAAAAGAUUUUUUUUUUCAAAGAGCAAAGAAUAAAGAGUUAACCUGAUUUCAAAAACUCAGUCCAAGUAAACUGAAGAUCAGUAGUAAAUUAUACAAGAAAAUUUACAAUAAUCAAAAAUAUAAUAGCUGUAAAUUCUGCUCAAAAUAAGAUCUAGUUGCACGAAAUUUGUUUAAUAACUGAUUAAAUAAUUAGAUUUUUCUGUAUUAGCUGUUAUGCUACUAUAGCGGUGACUGAGGACUCUAUAGAUUUGUUUCUUCAAGUAUUUCAGAAGAAGUUGCUGUUGUGGGCUGUACAGCUCGCUUUCCUGAUAGAUUUUCCUUUGAGAAUCUGAUCUGUUUCAUUUUCAUGAUGGCCUAUGGGCUAUGUGAGAUAAUGGGAUGAUGUUCCAGUAAUUUAACCAUAACCAUUGAACGGUUCAUCAGAGCCUUAUUUUGUAGCAAACGUUGUUGUAUAAUAUAACAUUUUUCUUAUCAUCAUAUACCGUAGUUGAAAAUUUUGUCACUGCAAUUAAUAAAAUCAAACUGAGAGAUUUAAUGCUUCAAAAAAAAGCAGGACCGCAUCUCUAGUAGAAUUUUCCCUAGUUUUUAUAUCUCUAACUUUUGUUAGCUUCAUAGUAGCUUUGUACGCAUGAGGACCUUUUUUUGUAUAAUAUCAAAUUGACUGUUGAGUAACAAGUUCUAAUUACUAACUAAAGUCAAGAGUAAAGAGCUAUUUUAUAGCUUCAAAGAAAAAUUUGAAUCAUAUUCUCAAUGUAGCCUAUUCCUUAGCAAUGUUACCUCAAUAACUUACUUUUGAAAGACUUCUUGUUGAAUAUUUUAGAAAUAUUUCAAGCCAGAACAAGUGAAUAACUUUUCUCCAUUUAUUUCGAUUUUCAAUAUAAUAAUUAUAUACCGUAGUUAGUAGGUAGCUUUUGAAUUUGCCGGUUGAUAACCUAGUUUGAAUUUGCCGGUGAGCCAUCUUGAUAAUGAUGUUUCAAAACCUUUUGAAUAAUGAAGAAUGAAGAGUGAAUCUUUUUAUGAAUCAUUCUUUCAAACGUAAUCAAGACAUCAAUCUAUAGUUAUAAAAUUCCUUAUCUAUAAAAAAUCAUUUGAGAACCAUUGAAUGUCGAUAUUUUCUCCAAAUGCAUCAAUCAGAAGUACUUAUAUAUAUUCCCAACUUUUCAAUGAAUAAUGGUAUAAAUCAACUAGAGAAUAUAUUUGAAACUUUUAAAAUCAUCAUUUGAAUAUCAUAAUUCUAUUUUGAUGAUAGAUAUACUUAAUUAUUUUCUAUUAUUUUUUUGCGUUGUGUAGUGGUACGGCUGGCUACCUGCUGUUCAAGCUAAUCAGCUGUUUGAUGCUCAUUAUUUUUUCAACUAUGAAUUGCGUUAAUAGUGCUUCCAAUAAACAGGAUAAUUUGAUACAUCAGAGAAAUAAUUUAAAUAUUCUAUUUGAACGUAUCAAUUGUUAAUACUUAAUUAUUUUUUCAUUAUUAUUUUGCGGUGUGUAGUGGUACAGCUGGUUACCAAAAUCCGUCUCCAUCGAGUUGCUUGGUAUGGAUUGUAAGACACAGAAGAAGACGCAUUUAGAUGUUUUUGGAUCUUGUAUCUUGAUGCUCACAGAAAAGCAAGUCAACCAGACAGGCUCUGAAAAUUGAUGAAAUGGAACAAAUUAUUUGGACAAGACACUAGAAAAAUUCUACUCGGUCGGUUUUGAAAUCAUACCUCAAGAAACUUGCGAGAUCUUCGGCUGCACUGCACUAGCAUUUCAGGGUUUGUUGGAGGCGAACGACAUCCACAACAAUGGGAUAGCGGGGUUCGGGCGCCAACCCGACAGUGACAGUGGUGCACUGCGAGAUCCACCACGGACAGAUGGGUGGCUUGUACGGGCUCGGCCAGUUCAUCGACAACCGCAUCCAUUCCCACAGCAACCCCACCGCAACGAGAUCUACAACGGCCAUCAGGGUGGCGUCUUCAUCUUGGGCGAAGGCCGCGGCUUGAUCGAGCAUAACAAUAUCUAUGGUGAGUGAAUUGCAAACAUCACUAUGUUAUGCCUAGUCCUCAGUCGCUGGCCCGCGUUGGUCUUGCCAUCUACACUGCAAUGUGGCCAGUGCCCAAUCAAGGCCAGCGUCAAACAAUACAUGCACAAUGGAAACUCGGCUAGAAUCGUGACGUCAAAAUCCGCCAUCUUGAAAGAAAGCCAAUCUAGCCAGUGCCGCCCAGAGUGGCAAUGAUUUAGCCAGUUCUUCUGUCCUAUUACAUCAGCUGUUCAACUUUGUCGCCUUGACAAAAUGUAGCUUGUAUCAGAAUUUAUAAGAGUUUUUCCAAUCACUUAAUAAAUC